rnacentral:rRNA from 1 species
CAAUAGCGUAUAUUAAAGCUGUUGCGGUUAAAAAGCUCGUAGUUGGAUUUCUGUCAAGGACAACUGGUCCGCCCUCCGGGUGAGCACAUAGUUUGGUCUUGACAUCUUGCUGGAAACUGUUGCUGCACUUGGCUGUGUGGCGCAGUGUUCAGCACUUUCACUUUGAGGAAAUUGGAGUGUUUCAAGCAGGCACAUGCCUUUGGACACAGUAGCAUGGAAUAAUUAGAUUGGGCUUUUGCUCCAAUUUGUCGGUUUCUGGAGCUGAGGUGAGUAUUAAUGGGGAUUGUUGGGGGCAUCCGAAUUUAGCCGUCAGAGGUGAAAUUCUUGGAUCUGCUAAAGACGGACAACUGCGAAAGCGUUUGCCCAGGAUGUUUUCAUUGA